GCGCCCCCUUUCCAAAUCGGCGCCGCGCACCCUUCCCAUCGCGGACGCCCGCGCUCCCGCUCCGCCUUCGUUUGAAUCACCACAUUAAUGGCCGUUAAGGUCCCGCGACGCGCCUCCCCCUUCCUCGCACGGAGAAGCUACAGCAAUCACUGCCGUGAUAGCCGGCCAGCGAACUCGCCGCUCCUUCCCCACUCGCGGCCGCACCUACCCCGUCCUCCCCUCUAUAAAACCCGCACCCGAGCUCUCCACUCCCUCCCUUUUGCACUCCACUUGUUCCCUCGCUCUCGCACUGCAGCUAGCGCUGCCGUCACCGAGCUCCGUCAUCCUGAGCUCCACCGCCGCUGUCGAUCUCCCAUCCCGUCACGUCCCUUCGCUGCUCCAUCUUCGCCGGAGCUAGCUGAGGUGACGACGUGCCGUUCGAGGGUGAUCAAGAGCAAGCUUACGAGGAAGACUUUCAGCAGUUAGCCGAGGAAGGCAAGUGGCUUUCCCACUCAGCAUACUCUGAUUUGUCCCAUCAAUAGCAUGUUAAUUCACUUUACUUUAUUGUUUAUUCAUAAAUUUGAUGGGAACACCUAUUAAGGACUUUACCUAGUCUUUUUACCUCAACCUUGGAACACCGGGUUUAAUAUCUUGUUGGGUAGCUUUGCUUAGUUGCUUAACCUUGAGUUGGUUGGUAUAAUCUUGGAAAAUGUUAAAUAUGGCUUUAUCAUGGUUAAGGGUACAAGAUCACUUUGUUUAAUUGAAACAUGGAGAACCACCAAGGAAAAUAGUGCAACCACAAGGACUAUAUGGCUCUAGUCUUGACUAAUUAAUUAGAGACUCUAGUUUGAAGUGGUCUUACCGAAAAGGCAAGAGGGGCGGCGGUUGAUGGGGUACAACUCGGUCCUCUUGGGGUAGUAGCCUUUGCAAAGGUACUGACCAUUAGGGAGGUUUAUGCUCUACUAUUGCUCCGGAAACCUUAGCAGACUACUUCUUACUAGGGAAUCUUUGUAAAGGCCUCGUAGCAUCGCUAUACAACCACACCUAAGGAAGUGUGGUAUUGUGCCUGAUCAGCACAGUGUGGUUGGGUCCAAAGUUCUUUUGAACUUUUACGCGACUUGUAGUGAAAAUAUACAACCUCUGCAGAGUGAAAACUGAUAUAUCAGCCGUGCUCACGGUUAAGAGCGGCAUGGACCCUCACAUGAUAAUUGAAUUUGAAGAAUAAUUAAAUCGUGGUUCUUUGGGUUGUUGUUGGAUCCUUUACGCUUAUGCUUAAGUGGGUUGGUAUAAACUUAUAUCUAGUUAAUAGGUGCUUGCUAAUAAAAUAUGAUCAACUAAAAUUGCUAACCGCUGAAAGCCUUUAGCCCUUCUUGUUUAACCUUGCAUGUUCCCCCACUUACUGAGUACCCACCAUAAGUGUACUCACCCUUGCUUACUACUGCUCCGAAGAGAACUUUGAAGUGGAGAAUUUCGAUGAUUUCGAAGAGUUCUAGGCGUUCGUUCACCUGUCAACUAUCUGUGGGAGAAGUCGUGCUGUGGACUUCAGUUAGGAUGUCGGUGAAACGUUUAAGACCUUUUGAGUCUAUUUCUUUCACUCUAUAACUCCUUUACUUUUCGAGCAUUGUCUUAUGAUACAUUCACUCGACGUCGAUCAUAUGUGUGUAAACUUGAUCCUGGCACACAUAUGAGAUGCAUUCAAUUUUCUUUAUAAAAUUGGGUGUGACAGUAACCACUCCCUUGACAA